GCGCAAGCCUGAUGCAGCCAUGCCGCGUGUGUGAAGAAGGCCUUCGGGUUGUAAAGCACUUUCAGUCGUGAGGAAGGUGGUAGUGUUAAUAGCACUAUCAUUUGACGUUAGCGACAGAAGAAGCACCGGCUAACUCCGUGCCAGCAGCCGCGGUAAUACGGAGGGUGCGAGCGUUAAUCGGAAUUACUGGGCGUAAAGCGCAUGCAGGUGGUUUGUUAAGUCAGAUGUGAAAGCCCGGGGCUCAACCUCGGAAUAGCAUUUGAAACUGGCAGACUAGAGUACUGUAGAGGGGGGUAGAAUUUCAGGUGUAGCGGUGAAAUGCGUAGAGAUCUGAAGGAAUACCGGUGGCGAAGGCGGCCCCCUGGACAGAUACUGACACUCAGAUGCGAAAGCGUGGGGAGCAAACAGGAUUAGAUACCCUGGUAGUCCACGCCGUAAACGAUGUCUACUUGGAGGUUGUGGCCUUGAGCCGUGGCUUUCGGAGCUAACGCGUUAAGUAGACCGCCUGGGGAAGUA
rnacentral:rRNA from 1 species